rnacentral:lncRNA from 1 species
UUUCUCCCCCUCCCUUUUUGCCAAAUGUAAAUGGAUUAAGGCCCUGAAAAGUAAGGAUGAUUUGUUUUAUUAGUAUAUGGCUCAGAUUAAAUAACUGGGCAGAAAUUAAGGAGCUUGUUUUAUCAAUUGUCAAUAGUGUUCAUAAUAGAAAGAUGCUAACCUCCUGUAAAACUGGGGCUCCUUCAUUAAUAUUAAAGGAGAAUAUUUAACUAGUAUGUGUCUUAAAUAUGAGCACUUUAAAAUUGAGUUUUCUUUAAAGAGUUGACAUUUAAGCAACUGGGGGGGGGGGACAGUCUCUUGAAUUUAAAAAAAAAACUUAAUGAUUCUUAGGAACAUGGGCUUCUGUUAACCUUAGAUGAUAAAUUAAUCAAUCUUCCUGAAUAAUUUGGUGAGGCAAAGUGAAAUGAACCAAUUCUGCAUCUCACAAGCUUUAAUUGUUCUGUGUUUGGUCAAGUCUUCAUCCUCUUCUUCAUCAAGCUCUGAUUCUUCCAGCAGUUCUUCAGAUUCGGAAGAUGAGGAUAAGAAACAAGGGAAAAAAAGAAGAAAAAAGAAAUAUCGUUCACAUAGAUCUUCAGAAUGCUCCAGAUCAGACUCUGAAUCAGAUAGUAAGGACAGCAUUAAGAAAAAAAAGAAGUCGAAAGAUGAACAUGAGAGAGAGAAGGAUAUCAAAAGUCUGAGCAAGAAAAGAAAGAAGAUAAAUUCUGAAGAUAAACCUGUAUCAUCUGAAUCUUUAUCAGAACCAGAUUGUAUAGAAGAGGCACAAGCAAAGAAAAAGAAAAACAGUGAGGAGAGAGAAAAGACCACAGAAAAGACAAAAAAGAAAAAGAAGCACAAGAAACAUGGCAAGAAGAAGAAAAAGAAGGCUUCUGGGUCAGGUCCAGAGUCAGCAUAACCCUAGGACCCCUGAGAUCUCCCUGCCAGAAAGUGCAAUGUCUAAAGGAAACUUCAACUGUGAAAGUUACGGCUUCUGCUACCCAAAUGCAUGAGUGCUCCUGUGUUUUUAGAGCCUGAGGCCACGGGCCGGAUGAGGCCAUGAUUGUUGCCUGCUGCUUAUUACAUGGG